rnacentral:rRNA from 1 species
AUUGAACGCUGGCGGCAUGCUUUACACAUGCAAGUCGAACGGUAACAGGUCUUCGGAUGCUGACGAGUGGCGAACGGGUGAGUAAUGCAUCGGAACGUGCCCAGUCGUGGGGGAUAACGCAGCGAAAGCUGCGCUAAUACCGCAUACGAUCUAUGGAUGAAAGCGGGGGACCGUAAUGACUCGCGCGAUUGGAGCGGCCGUUGCCCGAUUAGCUAGUUGGUGGGGUAAAGGCCCACUAAGGCGACGAAAUGUAGCUGGUCUGAGAGGACGACCAGCCACACUGGGACUGUGACACGGCCCAGACUACUACGGGAGGCAGCAGUGGGGAAUUUUGGACAAUGGGCGCAAGCCUGAUCCAGCAAUGCCGCGUGCAGGAAGAAGGCCUUCGGGUUGUAAACUGCUUUUGUACGGAACGAAACGGUCUGGGUUAAUACCCUGGGCUAAUGACGGUACCGUAAGAAUAAGCACCGGCUAACUACGUGCCAGCAGCCGCAGUAA